GAUGAAGAACGCAGCGAAAUGCGAUAAGUAAUGUGAAUUCCAGAAUUCAGUGAAUCAUCGAAUCUUUGAACGCACAUUGCGCCCGCCAGCAUUCUGGCGGGCAUGCCUGUUCGAGCGUCAUUUCAACCCUCGAGCCCCCCCGGGGGCCUCGGUGUUGGGGGACGGCACACCAGCCGCCCCCGAAAUGCAGUGGCGACCCCGCCGCAGCCUCCCCUGCGUAGUAGCACACACCUCGCACCGGAGCGCGGAGGCGGUCACGCCGUAAAACGCCCAACUUUCUUAGAGUUGACCUCGGAUCAGGUAGGAAUACCCGCUGAACUUAAGCAUAUCAAUAAGCGGAGGA
rnacentral:misc_RNA from 1 species